CACUUAUCGUGGUGGGAGACAGUGUCAGGCGGGCAGUUUGACUGGGGCGGUCGCCUCCUAAAAGGUAACGGAGGCGCUCAAAGGUUCCCUCAGAAUGGUUGGAAAUCAUUCAUAGAGUGUAAAGGCAUAAGGGAGCUUGACUGCGAGACCUACAAGUCGAGCAGGGUCGAAAGACGGACUUAGUGAUCCGGUGGUUCCGCAUGGAAGGGCCAUCGCUCAACGGAUAAAAGCUACCCCGGGGAUAACAGGCUUAUCUCCCCCAAGAGUUCACAUCGACGGGGAGGUUUGGCACC
rnacentral:rRNA from 1 species